CGGCGGACGGGUGAGUAACACGUGGAUAACCUACCUAUAAGACUGGGAUAACUUCGGGAAACCGGAGCUAAUACCGGAUAAUAUAUUGAACCGCAUGGUUCAAUAGUGAAAGACGGUUUUGCUGUCACUUAUAGAUGGGUCCGCGCCGCAUUAGCUAGUUGGUAAGGUAACGGCUUACCAAGGCAACGAUGCGUAGCCGACCUGAGAGGGUGAUCGACCACACUGGAACUGAGACACGGUCCAG
rnacentral:rRNA from 1 species